AGUACUCCCCGUCCCACGCUCCACUACCGACACCUGUUCCGUUUAAAAUCCCGGGCGUCGACGUGGCCGCGUGCGCAGCCACAAACCACCGCUCCCCGCCGCAAUUAACAACCCGCUAAUCAGCUCGGCGCGCCCCAAAUCCCCCGCUAAUCACCCUCUAAACCGCUCUCUCCUCCCUCCCUCCCUCCGCCAAAAAGCUAAUCCCCUCGCUUUUCCUAUCUCCACUUGGGGGGUUGGGGUUCUAGACUCGUCGAUUCGGUUUCGAUCCUUCUAGACAGUUCGCCGUGCCCGGCUAUAAAAGCCGGCACCUCCAGCGGCCAUCGAUCAACACAUCAGCACUAGCACGCAGCCCUUUGCUCAUUGGCCGGGGUUGGGGGUUCGAGACUCGUCGAUUCCAAGCUAUUGGCGUAAUGCAUGCGGUGGCACCAAGCAUGAGGCAGGAACUGCAUUACUUGCAAGGAAGUCACAAAAUCAAUUGGAAGAUCAUACUUGUGGCUUUCUUGCAAGUCGUGCAGUUGUUGCCUCAAGCUUGCUGCCUCCCUUUGCCAGAGCUACAAGUAAAAUAAGAAGUAUUCUCAGUUUCUGAGCUGCAAAAAAUAAUUUUGGAAAAACAAUCGAGAAAUGUAUUGCAUGAUAUAUGAAUAUGCUGCUAAAAGUUAAUCAAUACUCAUCGAUACUCACUAACUGCACAUGCUUUGCAUUUGGGGUUAACAUGCCUGGUUAAUUUACAUGCGAACAUUUGGAACUAUAAUGCUGCAAUUUAGUUAUACAGUAGACAUCUGAACAUUUAUGCUAUGGUCUUUGUUACUGUAAAUUUAAUCAAUACUGUUCCACUUCAUGCAAUGUUAACUAAGUUCAGGAGUUUGUAGCUGAUCAUUAUGUUGGAACAAUCAGUAGAGUAACAUUGUUGCAUUAUAGUCACCCAACCUGAUUUCAAGGUAAAUUGAGCUUAGUUUAUCUAUUUUCCUAAAGAAUGCUCUGUCUUGCAUUCUCUCAUGAGCAUUUGUAGUUCUGUGACAUUGUGAUGUUCUCUUCUUAAUAUAAUGAUAUGCAGCUCUCUUGAUUUUUCUAUGAAAAAAAACAUUGUGAUGUCUUCUUUUACAUUGUUGAUAUUCUGUUAGAGAAUAGUAUCAUAGUUCCAAAUCUAUAAAGCUUGAUAUUGCCUAACACAACGGUGGAGCAGCUAAGUGUAAAAGAGCAGAUACAUGUCAUAAUCUACAUUACCAUGUGGCCUGUAGGUGGUGAUCUGGUAUUUUUUGAUUAAAAGUUCAAUUUACUCCCCUCAAUUAUAGCCAAAGUUUGGAUAACCCCCUAAACUAUGAUUUUGUUCAAUUUACCCUCUAAACUAUGUCAUUUAGUUUAUUUUACCCCAUAACACAAUUUAUCUUUUUUGUUUCUCCUUACACAAGUUGAAUUUUAAUUUCAAAUUUUGCAGGGUAGUAGUGGACAUCACAAUGCAUAUUUAGAAAAAGUUUUAUAAUUUUUACCCAUUAUUUUUUAUAUAAUUUUGAACUCCAACGACUAAAUUAUUAUUAAAUAUACUAACCUAUCAAAAUAAUGAUAAAAAAAUAUGAUUUAGUUUUCUAACAUGUGUUAUGGUGUGUACUGUCAUGCUGUAAAAUUUCAACUUAAAACUCUACUUAUGCAUGAAGAAAUAAAAAUGACAAAUUACAGUAGGGGUAAUUUGAACCAAAUGAGAUAGUUUGAGGGGUAAAAUGAACCAAAUGAGAUAGUUUGCGGGGUAAAAUGAACCAAAAAAUAGUUUAGAGGGUUAUCCAGACUUUGGCUAUAGUUAAGGGGAGUAAUUUAGACUUUUCCUUAGAAAAGAAAAGUCAUCAGGAACGGACUGGCAUGGAAUGAUGCUUUGCAGGUGGUCUAGCACUGUAUAUACCUAAUACAGCUCUUCCAGCUGACAUGAAUCAUGAUACCAGUCUCAUACUAGUGUCAGUUACAUGGACUAAUUGUUCUGUUGUUCAAAUAUUUUGAUGUUCUUUAUCUUGUGCAAAUGACAGUUUCAGUUAAUUUCUUAACAGAUGUAUUUUAAAGGGUGCCAUAUCCUUUUGCGCCAGUUUCCGUAGCAGGGAUGGUUUGAACUAUCACUAUGUGCUCUAAAGAAUGAAUGGAAGUUCAGAUCGUUAGCAUAUUCAGUAAUCACUGUGCUCACUUCUAAACUAUUGGGAUGAACCUUGGGGGUGUCUUGGCUUUGACUUCUUUGGACAUAGAUGUGGCUUCGCCAGCUGACUGCUGUGAGGACUGUACAGCCUGUGUAAAAAAAAUUCUCUAGACCUGCGAGGGGGUAAACCGCCUCCGAGCAUUAAUGUAAGAAGAAGACCUCUCAUGCAGAUCGAGAAAAUUCCCGAAUCCCUACCCCACCUUUACAUACGGGCACCGUAACCCGUGUGAGAGCGGGCCGAGGUGAGCCUGGACUUAUUUUCAUGUGCUUUAGCGUGUAGGUAGGCGAGAGGAUUUUUUUUAACCUCAACCUGAAAUUUGCUCUCAUCGGGAGUCGAACCCAAGAUCUGAGGAGUGCUACUGAGGCCACCUAACCAAUCCGACUAGGCACCCUUUUGCACAGCCUCUGUAAAAAGCUCUAUACUGUUGCGGACGAUGUCCAUUUUUUUUCAUCCAUGUAUUUUCUUCUCUCAUUUUGUGCGUGUUUGUUGUAAGACCGGACCGAACCCAUGCUACUUACAGAACACUGGCCGAUAACUGUCAGGACUCCAGGCCUUACCGGGCCAUACUGCGUGAAUAAGCUGUCCUGUUUUCUUA